rnacentral:snoRNA from 1 species
AGCCUCAUUCCAUAUGGGAAUGGGCACAGUUGAUCAUAGUGUCCAGAAUUGAUAAUGUGGCUAAACUGAGACACAGGUUAUGCGUCCAUCACAGUAAAUAUAUUACAGUGGUGACAAUACAAAAAAAAUCUAUAACACUU